UACGUAGGGCGCAAGCGUUGUCCGGAAUUAUUGGGCGUAAAGAGCUCGUAGGCGGUCUGUCGCGUCUGUUGUGAAAACUCGAGGCUCAACCUCGGGCUUGCAGUGGAUACGGGCAGACUAGAGUGCGGUAGGGGAGACUGGAAUUCCUGGUGUAGCGGUGGAAUGCGCAGAUAUCAGGAGGAACACCGGUGGCGAAGGCGGGUCUCUGGGCCGAUACUGACGCUGAGGAGCGAAAGCGUGGGGAGCAAACAGG
rnacentral:rRNA from 1 species